UUUCUUAAAUGAUUAAUAUGUUAGUUUAAGAUAACAAUGAAAGAAUGAUGUGUUGUAGUAAUAUUGUUGUAUUAAUUGGGAUUACAUCGUAUGAGUAUAAAUUGAGUAAUAUGUUGAUAGAUUUAGAUAAGAAAUAUUUGAUACAUAGGAUGAUAUUUUAGGCAAGUUGUAUUUUUUUUAUUAGCAAGAAACAACUAAAAUAAAUUGGUCCACUUAAGAAGUGUCCAACCCUCAUAUAGAGUAAGAAUGAACAAAAGUAUAUUUUCAACUACACAAUUAAAAUCAUAAAGAGUUUAUCUCCUACUGCCUUCCCCAACACUACCAACUAAAGAAGAAUCAUUAAAUUGAAUACAUACAUAAUGAUUCUAAACAUCACUCAGAGAACGAAAAAUUCACUAAGGGUAUCUUUGAAACGAUUCAAGACCAAACAUUAACCUGUAAUAGGAAAAAACUUCAUAAAACAAGUUGUAUUUUAUGAUACUAAAUUUUAGAUUCUAUUAAUAAUUUUUAGUCAAAUAAUAACUAAUUAAUUUUUGUUCGUAUGUAUUAAGAUAUUAAGCGAUAAUAAAUUUUUGCAAUUUGUAGAGGUGAAAUGUGAAUAUGAAAGAGUUUAUGAAUGUAUUAAAAAAUUUAGAAUAUUUAAUUAAAUAAUGUGUGUAUGCAUAAUUAUGAGUUAUGAUUCAUUGAAUUACUUUUAAAUUUGUUUUAUGAUUAACCAUUUUUAUAAUCCUUCUUAAUUAACAUCUCCAUGUUUAUUAUGUGUAUGUAUAUCUACAGUAAAAAACAAGUUACAAUAAUUAGUAAUAUGAUAUUUCAGACUUCUAACGAACCACUAAUAAAUUAGUCUUCUAGAUGCAACUAAAUAUUUUCUUAAACAAACCAUAUUAUAAAUACAAGUUGUGUCUGAAUAAAAAAAAAAUAACAAGAGUAGAGUUUUAUCUGUGUUGUUAACGUAAAGAAAUACAAAACAAAACCUGCACAUACCUGGUCGUUACAUAUUCCAACAACAAGGGUAAAAACCUGCAAAUCGAUCCACACAAAGCAUCCUUACUUUCAAUUUGUCACAUGAACACAUCUUAGAAUGAUUCCAAACAAAAUUAAAACUCUUGCAAGAUCAAAACUCUGCACUGAUCCACUGUUUGAGAGAAAGGUAUCCAAAGUUAUGAAGACUCAGAAAAUAUAUUUGUUUUUUUCCUAACUGAUCACUCAGAUCUCAAGGAGAAUGUAGUAGAAUGGUAGAUGAAGAGUUGAAUCCCAAGAGUUAAACAAUAUUCUCAGAUCUUCAUCUUGAAGGAAGGAAAAAAAAAAAAAAAAUUGGUUGGUUGGUUGCAUCUGCUGCAUGCAUUCCAUGGAAGAAGAGACCAAUGGACAAGGAAAGAGACAGGCGUUUGAGUUGCCCAAGUUUUCUAGCAAGUGCAUGUGUAUUAUUAUACCAGGAGUGGUAUAAAAAUUAUUAUAAUAGAAUAUUAUAAUAAUAAAAAAUAAAAAGAAAAUUGAUGAAUGUUGGAAAGAGGAGGAGCAUAAGGGAGAGAAGAUAAAGAACACGCGCCGGGUGGAUGUAUGCAUGGGGUGAGUGAGUGAAUGAGGAGUGGGACCCGCAGGGAAUGAAAAGGAGAAAGAGAAGCGCGUGAGUAGAUGAAAAACACGACAAGAAGAAGAACAGGAAGAGGAACAUAGAACAAGAAGUACCCAGAUUGAGAUUUGGAUUGAAUUGUGAGUAGUGUGACCUUUGC
rnacentral:lncRNA from 1 species